AAGGCAUUAGUAAAGUGCAAAUUACACCAUCUUGUCAAGAUGGGGUCGUAGGUUAAAUCCCUGCAUGUCUUA
rnacentral:tRNA from 1 species